AGAGAAUUAAAACACUUAUAACUGAACUCAAUUUGAGUUGAUGAAUCUAGUCUCGAUAGUCUAGUACUAGGAGUGGUGUGAAUACUCAAAGGAAAUCUAGGCGCGGUAGUCUAUUACUAGGAAUGGUGCGAAUACUCAAAGGAAAUAUAGGCGUGGUAGUCUAGUACAAGGAGUGAUGCGAAUACUCAGAGGAAAUCUUGGCAAGGUUUACUAAGUACCAGGAGUGGUGCUAAUACUUAGAUCAGGAGUGGUGAGAAUACUCAGUUGUAAACGUGCAAAAAUUAUAUGGAACCCUCUGUGGAGGAGACUGAACGUAACUCAGUUAGAAUGAACCAGUAUAAAAGUACUUAUGCAAUUAUCUCUUCUCUCAACUAAAUGAUCCUCUUGUAAAAACCUACAUUUGUGUU
rnacentral:lncRNA from 1 species